rnacentral:misc_RNA from 1 species
UCGCGGCUUAUCACCGGCAGUCCCCUUAGAGUGCCCAACUGAAUGAUGGCAACUAAGGGCGAGGGUUGCGCUCGUUGCGGGACUUAACCCAACAUCUCACGACACGAGCUGACGACAGCCAUGCAGCACCUGUACACCAGUCCGAAGAGGCCCCCAUCUCUGGAGGUUUCCAGUGCAUGUCAAGCCCAGGUAAGGUUCUUCGCGUUGCAUCGAAUUAAACCACAUACUCCACCGCUUGUGCGGGCCCCCGUCAAUUCCUUUGAGUUUCAGUCUUGCGACCGUACUUCCCAGGCGGCGAACUUAACGCGUUAGCUUCGAUACUGAGUGCCAAGUUGCACCCAACAUCCAGUUCGCAUCGUUUAGGGCGUGGACUAC